UUUGCCUAAAGGAGUGCAACCAAAGCUGGAAAACAUGAACCAAUACCCCAACUUGAUUCAAUUCGUUCCUCUAGUUAUACCCCAUGUCGAUGGCCUCCCUCCAGGUGCUGAAACUACAUCUGUUGUUCCUCUGAACCAACAAAAAUACCUUGCUUUUGCUGUAGAUCAAACCAGGGACCAAGUUGAAGGCAUCCUAGGGCUUUAAAACCAGAUAUGGUUUUUUAUGAUUUCUGGUUUUGGAUCCCAGACUUGGCUCGCCAACUUGGGAUCCACUCCAUAUGCUAUGUAGUGGUUUCCUCGAUGAUCAUGUCGUUAGGAUCAAACAUCAGGACGAUAACCAAAGAAACGACUGUAGAAGAAGUGGCGAAAUUGCCUCCUGAUUACCCUUCUUCCACUGUGAAAUUCAAAGCUGAAGAGGCUGCUGCAUUGUUGUUUGAGGCUAACGAUUUCGGGAGUGGACUGUCGUUUGGGGAACGCACAAGGACUGCUGUGAGUGGAAGUGAUGCCAUUGCCUUCAGGACUUGCCGUGAAACCGAGGGACCAUUUUGCGACUAUUUUGCUCGAGGAAUUGGGAAGUCUGUUUUGUUGACAGGGCCUUGCUUGCCAGAAACGAAUACCCAACAGCUUGAUGAGAAAUGGGUUAGUUGGUUGAGCCAGUUCGAGCCAGGGUCUGUUGUGUUUUGCUCAUUUGGAAGCCAGAGUGUGUUGCAGAAGGAUGAGUUCCAGGAGUUGGUGCUUGGGUUUGAGCUAUGUGGGCUACCAUUUUUGGUAGCUUUAAAGCCACCCCAAGGAUUCUCGACUGUUGAAGAAGCACUGCCGGAGGGGUUUCAAGAUAGGGUUGGAGGAAGAGGGUUGGUGUAUGGAGGUUGGGUUCCACAAGAGCAGCUAUUGCACCACCCUAACAUCGGGUGUUUCGUUAACCACUGUGGGUAUGGAACGAUGUGGGAGUUUUUGCUUAGUGACUGCCAAAUCGUGUUGAUUCCUGAAAUAGGGGAUCAAAUUUUGAACACCAGAUUAAUGGUGAAAGAACUCAAGAUUGGAGUUGAAGUGGAGAGAGGUAAAAACAGGGAGGUUUCAAAGGAGUCAUUGAGUGAAGCCAUCAAGUUUGUGAUGGACAAGGACAAUGAAACAGCUAAUAUGAUGAAGAGAAACCAUGCUAAGCUGAAGCAGAUACUAUCUAACAGGGAUCUUCAAGAAGGAUAUAUCAACAAUUUCAUCCAAGCUCUGCAAGAUCUUGUCAAAUAGAGUGGCAAAAUCCAAGCAAUUGGUUAGAAAAUGAAAGUGAAUCAUAGGUAUGAUUAUUGUUUUAUCACAUUCUUAUUUUCUAAUUGUCCAUGCUUUUAUUAAUUUCAAAUAAAGCAAUGUUUAUUAAAUUACAAUUUUAAUAUAUAAAUAAAAUUCAAAUAAACUUUAAUUGAAAGUUCCAAUGAAAUGAAAUUUUGAAAUUGAAAUAAAAUUCAAAUAAAAUAUCAAUUUAAAGCAAUAUUUAUUAAAUUACAAUUUAAAUAUAUGAAUAAAAAUUUAUAAUAAAUAUAAUUUAAAUAAAGAAAGCAAUAUUUAUUAAAUUACAAUUUAAAUAUAUAAAUAAAAAUUCAAAUAAAAUUUAUUUAAAAAUUACAUUGAAUUGAAAUGAAAUUCAAAUAAAAUAUCAAUUUAAAGCAAUAUUUAUUAAAUUAUAAUUUAAAUAUAUAAAUAAAAAUUUAAUUCAACAAUUACAUGACAAAUGAAGUUAUAAUUAAAAAAGAAAAAAAAGUGAAAUGAAAUUAAAAUUGAAAUCAAAUUCAAAUGAAAAAAAUUCGAAAUGCCAAAACAUGACAGGCCGCACUUGUGACAGCCUUGUCAAAACAGGCCACCCAAUGGCUGGCACCAACGGCCCAAUGUGCCAGAUCAGCCUGUCAAUGGUCAAAAAAUUAAAUUUUGUCAUGCCUAUGAGGCCUAAUAUGUGUCAAAUCGGCCACUCAAUGGCCGGCAUCAGUAGACUAGACCUGCUCUGACAUGCCCCGGGGCAGGGGCCAAAAUUUUAUUUUCUUUUUUUACCCUUUUUACCCCUACUCAACCACUAUGGUCCCUCACUUUAAAUGUCCCAAAAUUCAAGCACCAUCGUUCAUGGUUGAUCACUAUCGAUCACCGUCACUGAUCACAAUCGUUCAUGGUUGAUCACUGUCAUCGAUCAACAUCUAUUACUGCUGAUCAAGGUUGAUCACCGAUCACUGCUGUCGAUCACCACUGAUCACUCUAUGAGUCCUAAUCCUAAUUCUCUUUUAAAUGACGACAAAGGCAUUGCUAAAAAUAUGAAUAAGGUAAAUUUUAUACCAAAUGACCCAUUUACUUUGAAUAACUAUGAUAACUUGCUUUUUAAACAAGAAAUAUAACAUUUUAUAUUUAUUAUAAAUGCAGGAUCAAUACCGAAUUGUGAGACUCCGAUUGCAUGAUCCUGAAUAUUUUUAAAAAAUAUUUUUUAAAAAAUUAAUUAUUGGCAAACAAACGGACCCUAAGUGCCUCUACUUAUAUGAUUUUAGUCAUCACACACGGUUGAACAACACAACCAUAUCUCAUAAAAGAGCGACACUUGUUUCAAUAUAAGCUUGGUAUAUAUAUAUACACGUGUGUGUGAGAGAUAUAGAUGACCCUUAAUCUUGCUAUACUUUUUUAUUAUUAAUAAAUUAAAUUAUUUUUCGUAAUUUUAUUAAAUAAUUUAAGAUUAUAUUUGAUGUAUUAAUAAUAAUAAAAAUUUGAAUUUAAAUUAUUUAUCAUUUAAAUAUCCUGAAAGGGAGAGGAAUUGAUUGACACGAAAGCUUUUCUUGAAAUUUAUUUUAUGGCCGACAACUAUUGUCUGUAUUGAUAAACAUGUUAGAAAAUAAAUGGCGUAGGUAGUCUCAGUGUGGACUGUGGACUCUCAGGUCAGUUAUUUUCGUGUCAGAUAACCUUUGUUCAUCCAAACCAAAGCAAAAAAGAUGAGCAAAUCAGGCUGCUCAAAGCUUCACAUCGCCAUGUUUCCCUGGGUUGCAUAUGGUCAUUUCAUUCCCUACCUUCAUCUCUCAAAUAAGUUGGCUCAUAAAGGCCAUAAAAUUUCCUUCAUUUUGCCUGAAGGAGUGCAACCAAAGCUGGAAAACAUGAACCAAUACCCCAACUUGAUUCAAUUCGUUCCUCUAGUUAUACCCCAUGUCGAUGGCCUCCCUCCAGGUGCUGAAACUACAUCUGUUGUUCCUCUGAACCAACAAAAAUACCUUGCUUUUGCUGUAGAUCAAACCAGGGACCAAGUUGAAGGCAUCCUAGGGGAUUUAAAACCAGAUAUGGUUUUUUUAUGAUUUCUGGUUUUGGAUCCCAGACUUGGCUCGCCAACUUGGGAUCCACCCCAUAUGCUAUGUAGUGGUUUCCUCGAUGAUCAUGUCGAUUGGGCCAAGCACCAAGACUCUAACCAAAGAAAUGACUGUAGAAGAGGUGACGAAAUUGCCUCCUGAUUACCCUUCUUCCAUUGUGAAAUUCAAAGCUGAAGAGGCUGCUGUAUUGUUGUUUGGGGCUGAGGAUUUCGGGAGUGAACUGUCGUUUGGGGAACGGAUAAGGACUGCUGUGAGUGGAAGUGAUGCCAUUGCCUUCAGGACUUGCCGUCAAACCGAGGGACCAUUUUGCGACUAUGUUGCUCGAGGAUAUGGGAAGGCUGUUUUGUUAUCAGGGCCUUGCUUCCUUGAAACAAAGACCCAACAGCUUGAUGAGAAAUGGGUUAGUUGGUUAAGCCAGUUCGAGCCAGGUUCUGUUGUGUUUUGCUCAUUUGGAAGCCAGAGUGUGUUAUAGAAGGACGAGUUCCAGGAGUUGGUGCUUGGGUUUGAGCUAUGUGGGCUACCAUUUUUGGUAGCUUUAAAGCCACCCCAAGGAUUCUCGACUGUUGAAGAAGCUCUGCCGGAGGGGUUUCAAGAUAGGGUUGGAGGAAGAGGGUUGGUGUAUGGAGGUUGGGUUCCACAAGAGCAGCUACUGCACCACCCUAACAUUGGGUGUUUCGUUAACCACUGUGGGUAUGGAACGAUGUGGGAGUUUUUGCUUAGUGACUGCCAAAUCGUGUUGAUUCCUGAAAUUGGGGAUCAAAUUUUGAACACCAGAUUAAUGGUGGAAGAACUCAAGAUUGGAGUUGAAGUGGAGAGAGGUAAAAACAGGGAGGUUUCAAAGGAGUCAUUGAGUGAAGCCAUCAAGUUUGUGAUGGACAAGGACAAUGAAACAGCUAAUAUGAUGAAGAGAAACCAUGCUAAGCUGAAGCAAAUACUAUCUAACAGGGAUCUUCAAGAAGGAUAUAUCAACAAUUUCAUCCAAGCUCUGCAAGAUCUUGUCAAAUAGAGUGGCAAAAUCCAAGCAAUUGGUUAGAAAAUGAAAGUGAAUCAUAGGUAUGAUUAUUGUUUUAUCACAUUCUUAUUUUCUAAUUGUCCAUGCUUUUAUUAAUUUCAAAUAAAGCAAUGUUUAUUAAAUUACAAUUUUAAUAUAUAAAUAAAAAUUCAAAUAAACUUUAAUUGAAAGUUCCAAUGAAAUGAAAAUUUGAAAUUGAAAUAAAAUUCAAAUAAAAUAUCAAUUUAAAGCAAUAUUUAUUAAAUUACAAUUUAAAUAUAUGAAUAAAAAUUUAUAAUAAAUAUAAUUUAAAUAAAGAAAGCAAUAUUUAUUAAAUUACAAUUUAAAUAUAUAAAUAAAAAUUCAAAUAAAAUUUAUUUAAAAAUUACAUUGAAUUGAAAUGAAAUUCAAAUAAAAUAUCAAUUUAAAGCAAUAUUUAUUAAAUUAUAAUUUAAAUAUAUAAAUAAAAAUUCAAUUCAACAGUUACAUGACAAAUGAAGUUAUAAUUAAAAAAGAAAAAAAAAGUGAAAUCAAAUUCAAAUUGAAAUCAAAUUCAAAUGAAAAAAAAAAUUCAAAAUGACAAUACAUGACAGGCCGGCACUUGUUACAGCCUUGUCAAAACAGGCCACCCAAUGGCUGGCACCAGCGGCCCAAUGUGCUAGAUCAGCCUGUCAAUGGCCAAUUUCAAAAAAUUAAAUUUUGUCAGGCCUAUGAGGCCUAAUCUGUGUCAAAUCGGCCACUCAAUUGCUGGCAUCAGUAGACUAGACCUGCUCUAACAUGCCCCGGGGCAGGGGCCAAAAUUUUAUUUUCUUUUUCUUUUUUUCCCUUUUUACCCCUACUCAACCCCUAUGGUCCCCCACUUUAAAUGUCAUGCUUCAACCUAAAAUUCGAGCACCAUCGCAGAUAACUAUCGUUCACCAUCGAUCAUCACCGCUGAUCAUAGUCAUUCAUGGUUGAUCACUGUCUUCAAUCAACAUCUAUUACUCCUGAUCAAGGCUAAUCACCGAUCACCGCCGUCGAUCACUGUCGAUCACCACUGAUCACUCCAUGAGUCCUAAUCCUAAUUCUCUUUUAAAUGACGACAACCGCAUUGCUAAAAAUAUGAAUAAGGUAAAUUUUAUACCAAAUGACCCAUUUACUUUGAAUAACUAUGAUAACUUGUUUUUAAACGAGAAAUAUAACAUUUUAUAUUUAUUAUAAAUGCAGGAUCAGUACCGAAUUGUGAGACCCCGAUUGCAUGAUCCUGAAUAUUUUUUCGAUUUGAAGGUUUUGCCAUAUUUGAACGCCGCGAGUUUUAGGGUAGCCGUGUACAUUUAGAUAGCCGAUCUACAGGCCAAUUUAAUAUUGGCCUUAGUUGAAAUAUGACGCCCAAAGGCACACAUGUUUCACCUCCCAUGUGGGGAGGUCACCAUUACACUGCAAGAUGUAGCAGUCUAGCUGGGGAUGUCUAUUAACAACGAAGUAGUGACGGGGCUUAGAAAAUUGCUCGUUCCGUGGGGCACUUGCGAAUGGUUACUUAGAAGAAUGCCCCCAACGAUGAGGAAUGAAGAUUGACCAGUCUUAAAUUUACCUAUUAAGAACAAACUUCCAAAAUCUACCUAGCAGUCUAACGCAAAUGGACAUUAUCUACGCUGCAAGAGCGUUUAUUCUGCAACUUAUAGGUGGAUUACUGAUGUCGGACGUGAGUCAAAAUAAAGUCCACAUCAUGUACCUCCUCUUACUAGAUGACCUUGAGCAAGCAGAGAUAUUUAGUUGGGGCUCUGCAGUAUUGGCAUGCUUAUACAGCGAGCUUUGUCGAGCAACAAAACCGUCUACCAAAACCAUGGGUGUAACACCCUUAACCCGUAUCCGUCGUCAGAAUAGGGUUACAGAGCAUUACCAAAGUUUUCAAAUCUUACGAACACAUAUUUAAAAACAUUUCAUAUCAUAUCAUUAAACAUAUUAAAAAUAAACCAAAUCAUUCAUAUUGUCCCUUACACGAGCCCUCGAGGCCUUAAAUACAUAUUAGAAACAAGUUGGGACUAAAUCAGAAACUCAGAGAAUUUUUCAAAAAAAAUUAAAAAUUUUCAACACUGCAGGGGUCACACGGCCAAGAGACACGCCCAUGUCUUAGGCCGUAUGGGCAUUCGAAGUAUGGACACACGAUCAUGUCCCAGCCUGUGUCCAUACUCGUGUAACUCACUGACUUGGGUCACACGGCCAAGCCACCAGGCCGUGUACCUUUCGAAAUAACCCCACACGCCCGUAUGCCAAGCUGUGUGCUAGGCCGUGUAACAACUUGACUUGCAACCCUUUGAAAGCUACAAGGUACACACGGCCGUGUCACCUAACCGUGUGUCACACACGGCUGUGACACGCUCAUGUGUGGACGAAAAUAGGCCAUUUUACAAGCCAUUUUUGUAAUGACCCAAAAUUCAUGGUCAUCAAAAAAGUAUGAUAUCGGGCCUCCGUCUUAGUAAAUUGGGUCAUAAAUAAUUAUUAGAAGCAAUUAUGAGUUUAGUGGAGUGCUUAAUUAGGUAUUAAUUAGGUGAAUUUAGCCUAAUUUAAAGUAAUAAGGAAAAAAGAUCAAAUUGAAUAAAGAAUGAAAGCCUAAUUAUAGAUUAAAAGAAAGUAAAAAGGGCUAAAAUGGGAAUUAAACCAUUUAUAUGAAAUGAGGCGGCAUAUAUGCAUUAAAAUCUAAGAUUUUAUUUAAGUUAUACAUAAAUAUUAUAUAUAUUAUUAUAAUUAUUAACCAUUAUUAUGGUUUUAUAUUAUUAUUAUUAUUAUUAAAUAAAGUAAAUGGUAGACAAUUGUAUGGUAAUAAAAUAUACAUGUGUAAAAAUUAUAUUUGUACAUUUGUAAACUAAACACCCAAAUUACUUAUAAUUUAAGUAUGAAGAUAUUUUAUAAUUAUUAAUUGAAUUAAUUAUAUUAUAAGAUUUUUAUAUAAUAAAUAAAUUAAAGACAUGACAAGUGUAUGAUGAUGAUAAGGUACAAAUGUAAUAAUAUUUAUGUGUACAAUAGUAAUAAAUGUAAAUGAUAUUAAAAUAGAUAUUUACUAAUUAUUAUUAUUAAGUUAAAGAUAUUUAUUAAAUUAAAUAAUUAAACUAUGAGACUUUUAUUUGAUAAACAAAUUAAAUAAUGACAAUUGUAAUAAAAUCAUUGGUACAAAUGUAGAAAUAUAGGUGUGACCAAAUGUAAAAUAAGUAUUGUUAUUAAAAUAGAUAUUUAUUAUAAUCAUUAUAUUAUGUUAAUAAAAUAAAUAAAAUAUAAAAAGAAACAAAAACAAAGAAUAGAAACAGAAUUGAGACGAGAAGCAGGGGAGAAAAAGGGUAAGAAAAAUAAAAGAGAAAAUUAGGGAUUUGAAACUUGAAACUUUAAUUGGUAAGUUUAAUCAAGUCCUUUUCUUAUAAAUUUGAUGUUCUUGGAAUCCAAGAGACGAAAUACUCUUGGAUUUAAGUUGAAAUUUUGAAAGUUAAUAGAUUUUUUAGUAGGGUUUAUGUUGAAUAAAUGAUGAAAUUGAGGGUUUAUUUGAUAGAAAUUUUGAUUGGAAUUGAAUAAAGGAUUGAAUUGUAAACUAAGCCAUAAGUUUUGAGUUUUAGGGAUUAAAUUGAAAUAAAUUUGAAAUUGGGAAAAUAUGCUCAAAUUUUAAUAGUUAAAUUUUAGUUUGGAUGAAAUUUGAAUAAAAAUAGAGUGUGAGUUGAAUUAGGAAAGUAAGUGAAUUUAGUUAGGAUCAAAUUGAGAAUAAGGAAGAAAUUUAAUAGAAAUUCAAUUAUUUAUCAUAAUUAGUGUUGUAAUUAAUAGUGUAAAUUAUUAUUAUUUUCGUAGCUAGCAAAGAACCAGAAGCAUCGGCACGGAAGGGAAAAGAGAAGAUUAUCGAGGAGUAAACCCGAGAAAAUCAUGGUUUGUAUUACUAUAAUUCAAAUCACUUUUUAUUAAAUGUUUUAUAUAAAUUUUAUAUUUAAUAAAUGAGUAUAAGGUAAGUAUUAAUAUGAGUUGAAUGGGAAUUGAUUGGAUGGUGAAUGUGUAUGUAUAAUUGAAUUGUAUAUUGAUUUGAAUGUGAAAUUGAAUAUUGACUUGAAAAAAAAAUGGAAAGGUGAAUUUUGAAUUGAAUUGUGAUUAAAAUUGAAAAAGUGGAAUUGAAUUGAAAUGUGAAUUUGGAGACCCUAUUAACUAGUCGGGCUGAGUCAGACAUAGUUGGUAUGCUAUAGGAUUGGAAGAGUUCAGGGAUACUUCGACCUCAAGUCGAUGAGACACUGGGUGUUAUUAUAUUUCUUUGGAUAGAUUCGAUGAGGUACUGGGUACCAACUUUAUUCGGCUUUGCCGAUGGGACACUGGGUGUUAACUAUUGCUUCGAACUAUCCGAUGAGGCACUGGGUACCAUGCCCAUACUGGAGUGUUUGGUUGGAUCCGUGUAUCUGCCAAAGUUCGAGUUUUGUUAAUAGGGUAAAUAAUGAAAUGAUAAACUGAAUGAGUUGAUCAAUCGAGCUAUUGAGAUGAAAUGAAAAGUUGAAUGGUGAAUUGAAAUGUGAUAUGAGAUUGAGAAAUGAAUCUGAAGUUCGAAAUGUGUCCAAUUUCCAAAUUAUGGAUAUAUGAUAUUAAUUGAUGAAUUAUUGAUGUUGAAACAUGAAAUUUGAGUUUAAAUUUGUAUGUAUGAUUUUAUACAUUACAUGCUUAUUAAUAUUAUAAUUUGAAUUAUGGUAAUACCACUGAGUAUGAAAUACUCAGCGUACAGUUAUUUCCGUGCGCAGGUCAUUAGAGUUUAAGGUCCAGUUCAGCAUCCAGAAAGAUCCCAACUCCAUCAAGAAAACUUUGGUGAUGUAUUUCUUCCUUUUGUUUAAGUGGCAUGUACUAGGUGAUUGUACACGAGUCAUAUAUAUAUAAAUAUAUAUAUGCUAAAUGAUCUUGGUUGUAAGUAAAUGGUUAUAAUCUUUAGAAUGAUAAAUAAAGUAGCGUUUUAAAAUAUAAAAUUAUUGAUUGAAAUAUUGGUGUUGGGUUUUUUUUGUUUUAAGUUUUUAGGGGGUUUUAUGUAAAAAUAAGCAGAAAUAUUGUCGAAAUUUUUUAAAAAAUGAAGCCAAUUAGUAUAAAUUUAUAUGAAUUUAUGAUUCUUUUAUAUAUAUUAGUGAUAUAUUAAGAAUUAUUUGUGAAUUGUUCGAGAUGUCCAAUAAUGCCUCGUAAUCCUGUUCCGACGAUGAUUUAGGGUUAGAGAAUAUUACAAUUUUUCUCACCCAUCAAGGCAUAUACCUACAAAAAAAAAUGCAAAUAUAUACAAGCCAUAACAAUGCACCAAAAUCAUGCAUAUUCUAGCGUCAUACUCAUUUAGCUUCGUACAUAUGCAAAUUUGUAAAAAAAGUACAAAAACUCGUAGCUAUAAUUUACGAAAUAACUUCGUAGACAUGUACAAGUUAGGACUGAAUUUUUUUUUCCUUUUAAAGAAAUCAGAACUGAAUUAUUAUUUAAUAAUAAUCUUUUAAAAAAGAUGAUUAUAAUAUAUCUACGGGGUAAGUAGAAAACAAGAAUAUUUGAUUAUUCGUUGAUUAGAAGUUAUACAUACUCCGUUUAAUAAUUACAAUAGGAAAAACAGAGUUGGCAUGCGUAAUUGCCUUCGUGUCAGCGUCUCUAAUUUCUUAGAGGUAAUGAUUACAAAAUAUAAUAAAAUAUUUUCAGUAUGGACAAACAUGAUGAAGAAAAAAAGGCGUUUGUUGUGCAAUUGUUAAUGGUAGGCGUUAUAAUUAGAUCGGUUUUUUGUCUCUCAGAUCACAUUGUGCAAGCAAAAAAAGAAAGAUGAGCAAAUCAGGCCACUCAAAGCUUCACAUCGCCAUGUUUCCAUGGGUUGCCUAUGGUCAUUUCAUCCCCUUCCUUCAUCUCUCUAAUAAGCUGGCUCAUAAAGGCCACCAAAUUUCCUUCCUUGUUCCCAAAGGAGUUCAACCAAAGCUUGAAAACCUGAACCAAUACCCCAACUUGAUUCGGUUCUUUCCUCUACAUAUACCCCAUGUCGAUGGCCUCCCUCCAGGUGCUGAAACUACAUCUGUUGUUCCUAUGAACCAGCAAAAAUACCUUGCUUUUGCUGUAGACCAAACCAGGGACCAAGUUGAAGGAAUCUUAAAGGUUAUAAAACCUGAUAUGGUUUUUUAUGAUUUCUGGUUUUGGAUCCCUGACUUGGCUCGCCAGCUUGGGAUCCUCCCCAUAUUCUAUGUAGUGGUUUCCUCAAUGUCGAUGGGGUUAAACACCAAGGCACUAACCAAAGAAAUGACUGUAGAAGAGGUGAUGGAAUUGCCUCCUGGUUACCCUCUUUCCACAGUGAAACUCAAACCUGAAGAGGCUGCUGCAAUGUUGUUUGAGGCUGAGGAUUUCGGAAGUGGACUGUCGUUUCGGGAACGGAUAAGGACUGCUGUGAAAGGAAGUGAUGCCAUUGCCUUCAGGACUUGCAGUGAAAUCGAGGAACCAUUUUGUGACUUUGUCGCUGAAGAAUUUGGGAAGCCUGUUUUGUUGUCAGGGCCUUGUUUGCCUGAAACGAAUACCCAACAGCUUGAUGAGGAAUGGGUUAGUUGGUUGAGCCAGUUCCAGCCAGGGUCUGUUGUGUUUUGCUCAUUUGGAAGCCAGAGUGUGUUGCAGAAGGAUGAGUUCCAGGAGUUGGUGCUUGGGUUUGAGCUAUGUGGGCUACCAUUUUUGGUAGCUUUAAAGCCACCCCAAGGAUUCUCGACUGUUGAAGAAGCACUGCCGGAGGGGUUUCAAGAUAGGGUUGGAGGAAGAGGGUUGGUGUAUGGAGGUUGGGUUCCACAAGAGCAGCUAUUGCACCACCCUAACAUCGGGUGUUUCGUUAACCACUGUGGGUAUGGAACAAUGUGGGAGUUUUUGCUUAGUGACUGCCAAAUCGUGUUGAUACCUGAAAUUGGGGAUCAAAUUUUGAACACUAGAUUAAUGGUGAAUGAACUCAAGAUUGGAGUUGAAGUGGAGAGAGGUAAAAACAGGGAGGUUUCAAAGGAAUCAUUGAGUGAAGCCAUCAAGUUUGUGAUGGACAAGGACAAUGAAACAGCUAAUAUGAUGAAGAGAAACCAUGCUAAGCUGAAGCAAAUACUAUCUAAUGGGGAUCUUCAAGAAGGAUAUAUCAACAAUUUCAUCAAAGCUCUACAAGAUCUUGUCAAAUAGAGAGUCCAAGUUGCAAAACAAGAAGAAUAUAUCCAUUUCAUUAUUUGGAAUGAAUUGAAGAGUAGUCCUUGCAGGUUAGAUCUCAAAAGGAUUUGGUCAAGGUUCUUUCGCCAUGUUAAACGGCAUCUAAUGAUGCUGCUCAUUUUCUAGCCAAAAAUGGACUGAAUAGUAAUACUGCCACUAUGUGGGUGGAAGAUUACCCACCCUUUCUUCAUCUUUAUGUCAUCACUGAUGCUAUGAAAAUGUUCAAUUUCAACAACAAUAGCAAAAAAGUCAUCCAAUAGGCUAAUGUAAUUUGGAAUGAAUGUUGUUCCUAAUCUACACUUAAAAAUGUCAUCAUUUAUUUAUCUUUCUUUUUCGCGUUAAGCGUUAAACAAGUUCAAUUCAGUCUCAAUUAACCUCUCAAACAAUAAAAGCAUAUCAAUUGCACUCUUUGAUUAAUGGUUUCCGCUGUUGAUAGUUAAUGUGUUGAUGUGGCUAUUCAUGACAGCUGAAUAGACUAUUAUGAUGCUAACAUGACAAGUCCACAUCAACAAAAAUAAUUUUUUUAAAAAUACAAUAUUUAAAUAUAAAUUCAAAAUGAAUGGAAGUCUCGUAUUUAUUUGUUAGAUUAAUUCUGAAUGUAGUUUUUUUAAAUUAUAAAAAAGUUUAAAAAAUAAAAACAUUAUAAAAAUUGUAAAAAUGAGAAAUAAAAUUUUAAAAAAUAAAAAUAAUUUAAAAAAUUAAAUUCAAAAUAUAUCUAGACAAACGGACAUCCACGUUCAAUUGAAUUUUGAUAACAGUUUGUCCAUAUUUAUUCUAGAUAUAUAUUUUUUUAAUUUUUGAAAAAUUAAAAUUAUGAGAUAAAUAUCAAAUCUAUACAUGAACUUUGCUCUAAUGUGUAAUUUGAUAGAUGAACUUUAAUUUGAUAUAAUCAUACACAUGAAAACUUGAAUUGUGGUUCAUAUAUGUACAUGAAGUUUUGAUUUUGAUUCAGUUGUACAUUUAAAAAAAAGGAAUACAUAUAUUUAUUUUUGUAUUGGAUUAAUAUAAUGGUUUGUGUAUGCAAUAUAUAAACAUAAAAUUGUACUAAUUCGAUAAUUUUGUUAGUGAUUUAAGAAAUUGAAUCGAAUAAAAAUAUCUUGUAUAAAAUCGCAUAAAGUCAAUAUUCAUACAUUGCAUUACAUAUUAAAUUCAUGUAUAAUUUUGAUAUUUAUUCCUGUUGAUUUUUACUUUUGUCACGAGAGAUAAAUAUAAUUUUUAAUAAGAUUUUGAAGUUCUUCUUGUUGGUUUUAUUAUUAUUUAAUUUGUUUAUUGUAAUUUUAGGGUUUGCUAUACAUUUAGGUCAUUUUAUUUAUCUGCUGUUAAUUUUAAUACAAGAUAUAAGAAUGCAAUGUCAAGCAACACAUAUUAUUAUGAUUAAACAUGUGCGUAAUGUUUUUUUUUAAAAUGAGAUAUAAGAAAAAAAUAAAUUUGUGUAGCACAUACGUAUACAUUUUUUUGAAUGUUGUUUUAUCAUUUAUAUAAAUUUGUGUAGUAGAUAUAUAUAAAGGGCAAUUUACCAGAAAAAGCCCUUUUUUUUAAAAUUUAUCGAAAUGGGCCGAUUUUUUGAUUAUUUACCGGAAUGGUCCAUUUUCCGGGAAAUCGCGCCCACGUCAGCGCGACGUCAGGGUACAUGGCAGGAGGUCGCGUCCAUGUCAAUACGACCUGCUGACGUGGGAGGAAAUCGCGCCCUUGAGGGCAAAUUCUGUUCUUAAAUUCUGAAUGCAUAAAUUCUGUUCUUAAAGGAAUGCACCAUCUACCGAUAACAUCGGUUGUGCGAGAGACAUAUUUUCGUUUGGCGGUGCUAUUUCCAAAGCGAGCAGCAACUUAUGCUGGCCAGAUACAGGGUGGCCAUGUAUGGUGCAGUAAGGUAGUUUAAGAAAUUAAUAAGGCGAAGGCCAGGGCAAACAUCAUGCACACAGUGUGUCACGAUCGAGACAAUUUAUGGUUUCGCGUGACGGAGUUUGACAAACCGCACCAAGGUGUUGUUGGUGGGCAGUAUCGUGUACACUUACGAAACAUGACUUGUGACUGUGGGAAGUUUGAUGCACUUCGUUAUCCAUGUGCUCAUGUUAUUGCAGCUUGCCAGAAACUUCGUCUGGAUCCAAUGAGUUAUGUGGACGAAGUGUACAAACUAGAAAACAUGUACAACAUUUGGAGAUAUGUUUUCCCACCGGUCCCAGAUGAACGUAAGUGGCCGCCCGUAUCUCUUGCUCCUUUUAAGCUGUUACCAGAUAGAGAAUUGCGUCGAAAACCAAAGGGUCGACCUUGCUCCACUAGAAUACGGAACAAUAUGGAUAUCCGAGAAACAUCCAGUCAGCAGAAGUUGUGCGGAUGGUGUAGGAACCCAGGCUAUACAAGUCGAUCAUGCCCUAAUCGCAAUAGCUGAAUGUAAUUUUAGAAAAAAAUAUAUUUUCUUCAAUUAUUAAUUGAUAAUUGUAUAAAUUGUUAGUAAAAUUAUCAAAUUAGUUUAAUUUCUUAAUUGCUAGUACCAGUCAAAACAUUUUACCAGAUCUAACAUUAUGUAAAAUUAUUAAGCCAAAAAAAUUUUCUUAAUGGUUAGUAAAAUUUAUCAAAUAAUCUCAAAUUAUUAAGUCCAAAAAUUGUGUUAAUGGUUAUUAAAGUGUUCAAAAUAUGUAAAAUUAUUAAGCCAAAAAAAUAUGUAAAAUUAUUAAGCCAAAAAAAUUUAGGUUAGUUUAGGGUUUUUAAUUAAUUUAGGUUAGAUUAGGGUUUCUAGUUAAUUUAGGUUAGGUUUAGGGUUUUUAAUUAAUUUAGGUUAGAUUAGGGUUUUUAAUUAAUUUAGGUUAGGUUUAGGGUUUUUAGUUAAUUUAGGUUAGAUUAGGGUUUUUAAUUAAUUUAGGUUAGAUUAGGGUUUUUAGUUAAUUUAGGUUAGGUUUAGGAUUUUUAGUUAAUUUAGGUUAGAUUUAGGGUUUCUAGUUAAUUUAGGUAAGGUUUAGGGUUUUUAGUUAAUUUAGGUUAGAUUAGGGUUUUUAAUUAAUUUAGGUUAGGUUUAGGGUUUUUAGUUAAUUUAGGUUAGAUUAGGGUUUUUAGUUAAUUUAGGUUAGGUUUAGGGUUUUUAGUUAAUUUAGGUUAGAUUAGGGUUUUUAAUUAAUUUAGGUUAGGUUUAGGGUUUUUAGUUAAUUUAGAUUAGGUUUAGUGUUUUUAAUUAAUUUAGGUUAGGGUUAGGUUAGGGUUUUCAAUUAAAUUAGGGUUUUUAUUUUAUUAUAUCAAAUAAUAUCAAAAUUUUCUUAAAAAAUUUCUAUCCGUAUUACAUCAAAUAAACUUCUAUUUUAUUAUAUCAAAUAAUAAAUUUAAAUACGGCAAUCAAUGUCUAUGACCGGGGGAUUCGGUUCCACAUGACGGCUGUCGACGGUUGCGCGCUGGAUUCCUCCUUCCUCUAGCUUUCGGCGGCGGUUGUUCUUCCUCCGGUGGUAAUUGUGGUUCUUCCUCCAGUGGUGGUUGUGGUUCUUCCGGUUCGGCAUCUGGUUGUCGGACUUGGGACGAUGAUCCACCUUCAAAGAAUAGUGUAUGUGGAGGUGUUUGCAUCAUGAAUGGCGACGGUGUUUGAAAGCUAUACGUUGCUGGCGAUUGGUAAAAAGGAGAGCUCCCAGAAGGCAUAGCCGAUCCCUCCUGUGCCGCUGGCCUAGAUAUCGACAGUCCGCUCGGCAUAACAGGAAAUGGGGCUGAACCAGGCAUUUGGUUCCAACCUGCCAUAGUAUUCGGAAAAGGAUACAUGUAAGGGUUAGGGUACAUAUAAGAGCUAGGAAACAUACUUGGCAUCAUAGGGAAAGGCGGUUGCAUGGGUAUCAUCUGUUGAAUUGCUGCGUCAGGUGACUGCGUCGGUGCUCUCGUUAGGGCCGGUGAUUGCAUGCCCGCUGAUGAUGCGCCGUGUGACUGUCUGGGCCUCGUUGAGGGGCUGCUUUCGAAGUCUUCUCGUCUUGGAUUUAGAGGCCCGCGCCUUUCCCUUCCGAGACGUAAUUGCCGUUGCCUCUCCUCUGUCAUAAGUAAAUACGGCUUGCCAUGGAUCCUAAACCAUGGCAUGUAUUCUGGAACACGCGCUAACUCCGGAACGAUGAUUUCUUUCCGAGUAGGUAGAUAUUCAUGCCGAUUUUCCCAAAUUUCCAUGUACUCGGACCAGUAUCUAGGCCAAUCCGUACCUAAUAGCCGAAGGUCGAUUUUGUGGUGCUCGCCAAACUCCUCAGGGUCCGCAGGAAUCGGUUGUCUACAUCCAAACUGUCGUAGCACUUUGUCUGUCUGGUGGGGCUCUACGGUUGCAUAGUUGAUCAACACCACUUUCAUGUACCAAGCGUUUGGAUUUUGUAAAAACUCUUCCGGGAUUACUGCCCAAAUUGUCGGAUCCUCGUAUGGUGUCCAUUGAAACUAUAUGAACAUGAUAGAAAUAUUAGUUAUAUACAUAAUACUAAAUACUAAAUACUAAAUAUCAAUCGACUAGCGAAUGUAUGGAAAUAUCUAUUUGCAAUAAUACUUACUUCUGCUUUCGACCGUUGGUCCAAUAGAAGCCGUAUAUCUUCAAGUUCAGACGGUAAUCCACGAAAACUUACCGGAUGGUUCCACCUAAUUAAAUAAAUUUUUAGCAUACUUUUAUUCUUACAAAAUCUACAUAAUAAUUCAAAAAUGUAAUAUAAAAUUUACCUCGUUACAAGUGGGAAUGUAUAUGGGUGGUUCACUCGAGGACGAAGAAAUGGAAAGCGAAACCGUGCCCAUGAUUGCAGUAGUGACAGGCAACCUCCGAUGUUUUCUCUCCUCGGUCGCGUCGCCCUACACAUUUCCCGAUAUAAUUUGCCAAGACGGCAGACCCCCAACUAAAUUCACCGGCUCCUCUAAAAUCAACGAGUUUUAGCAGCCACCUUAGAUGUACACGGCUCAGUGGCGUGUCCGGCAUCAGAUAACCUCCAAUUAUUUGAAGAAUGUAUGAUCGAGCAUAUUGAAUUCUUUGGAUUUCGGUUGAAUUUACAUUUGGCUCGGGGAAGGUGGCACGUAACCAGCCCAUCUCGACCUUACCUCCAUUCAUUUUUUCCGGAAUAGCGCCCAAAAGCUCGUAGCACACCGCCUCCCAAUUGCUAGAUUGGGCAGACCCGGUGACUGGGUGCCCGUCCACCAGCAAUGUAAUGGCCCAAAUUUAAAGUUAUCGGAAUAGUGGUUUCGUAACCACAAAUCUGAUUUAAAGAUAAAUUUAUUUUAAUAUUUUUGUAUGAAUAUUGAUAUGAUAGGAAAAUCGUAUAAAAAUAUCGAUAGAAAAAUUUUACCGAUUUAAUGGUUAGUUAGAAAAGAAAUUAUUGAAGAAAUUGGGUAAAAAUAAGGUAUCGAGACUUCGAUCUCAUAAAACCGAGUCAAAAAUAUUUUUAUAAAUAUUUAUGAAGUGUUAGUAAUAUGGUAUUAAAAUUUUGUUAGAAAAUUUUAAUGUUUGGGUAGUCAAUUAAGUGAAAAGGACUAAAUUGAAAAAGGUGUAAAAGUUACUAGAAGGAUUAAAUAGCUCAAUUGUUAAAUGAAGAGGGACAUAAAUUGAAAAUAACCCCAAAGGAGAUAUUUUGGGCGGCAUACGCUGAGAAAAUCAGGAGAAUUGAAGAAUUAAGGGUAAAAUUGGAAUAUUGCAAAAUUUGCUUUAAAAGUUAGGACUAAAGUAGAAUUAUCUAGAUUCCUCUUUAUUUUUCUGCAUUCCCAUCAGCCAAAAACGUCCUAAGGGCUUCUGCAAGCUGGUUUUUCAUAAUUUUUGCACCAAGUGAGUUAAUCCUUGCCUUUUUUCUUGUAAUUUUUGUAUUUCUAAGACUUUUACAACUAGGUCCUAUUACUAAAUUCAUUAGUUUUUGAUUUUGUGAAUGAAUUUGAAAGUUUCUAUGAAUAUGUGCUAGAAUUUUAUGAUGAAAUAGGAUGAAAUUGAAGCUUUAAUUUGUUUAUGAUAUGAUCUUAUUAGGUAAUUUCAAUAGAAAUUGAUUUGUAGGACCUAAUUGUGAAAAUGUUUGGAAUCAAAGUCUAGUGCUGAAAUUCUGAUUUAAAAAGGUUAUAAAGUAGUCUAAUGUGAUGGGAUAAAGUGUUAAUUGAGAAAAAUUAGCUCAAUUGAGAGGUUAAUUGAGUAGGGAUGAAAUUAUCAUUUAUUGAAAGUUUAGGGAAAAAUGGUAAUUAACAUCAUACACUAAAACAGUUUUGGACAGCAGCAGUACUCUAACUUUGAAAAAUCACAAAAAAUUGUAGAGAUCGAAUUAGAGAAUGAAUGAAAUAUUAAAUUAAAUCUUAUUGAGUCUAGUUUUUUAUAAAAGAAACGGUGUAAGCAAUGGAAUUGUAAAUCAUGAGAUAUAAUAGAUUUUGUGAGAUAAGGUCAGAAUGAAUUCGGGUUCCCCUGUUCUGACUUUGGAAAAUCAUUAAAAAUUGUAAAAAAAUGAUUAUGAGUUAUAAUUUAUAUGGUUAGAAUCCUUAAUGAGUCUAUUUUCAAAAGAAACAAAUGGAAACAUCAUCCUAAUUCUGUACUAUGAGAUAACUAAUUUUUAGUGAAGAGAGGUUGGAACUGUCGAAUAGUGAAACAGGGGAAACUUUAAAGAAUAAAAUGUACUUAUUGGCUAAACUAAAAAUUAUAAAAAUUUUAUGAUAAAAAUAUAUGUGAGUCUAGUUUCAGGUAAAAUUAACGGAUCUUGAUUUGGAGUUCCGUAGCUCAAGAUAUAAAUAAUUUAGUGACUGUGACUCAGUGAGACAGCUUUGAAUGCACUACAAAUAAUAAUGGAAUUAUAGAGAAUGUUACAUAUGAACAUGAAAAGUAUUAGAUUAGUGAUUAAAUUUAUUUAUUUAGAUCCAGAAAAUUCAAAUACGAAGCAAGAUCGAGGAAAAGAAAAAGUUCGGGAUUAGUAGAUUUUUCUUUACGAACAAGUAUCGAGGUAAGUUCGUGUAACUUGAAUUAUAUUCUUAAAUGCUUGAAAUGUUUGUUAUUGUUGUGAAUAUGAGUUGUAUGUUUAUUGUAUGAUAAUUGAUGAAGUAUUGAUAUACUUGAUGAAAAGAGGAAAUAAAUCCCGGUUGAAUGAAAGGAAAAUUCGAUGGAUCUCUAAAAAGGAAUUGACGGUAAAAAGGAUCUAGCCCGGACGGGUGAUCCUAUCCUGAUAUAGCCCUCCCGAAGAAUAUGUGGAAAAUGGAUUUAGCUCGGACGGGUAAUCUGAAUUAGGGUUUGAAUUUAGCCUGGACUGGUAAUUCAGAUCCAAGCUCAUUAGAGUAAUUGUCAUUGCAGGGGAUUUAGCCUGGACUGGUAAUCUCGACAAUACUCUGUGAGUUUAUAUUACAAGGGAUUUAGCCUGGACUGGUCCAGGCUAAAUCCCGCUGUAAGGAUGAGGUUCGCGGGUGUGUGCUCUCUGAAAUAGAAAUGUGCGCACAUGAAUAUGAAUUGACGGACCCGAAAUUGUACACUAAAGUGUACCUCUGAAAAUCCAUCGAAAUUCCAAGUAGUUCAACGGGGUAAAUAUGGAAAAAUAACAAGGAAAUGGAAAUCAUGGUAUUGAUGAGCUCAUCAAUCAUGGUAUAAAUUAUUGAUACAUGGAAAUUAUUGGACUAAUUUGAAUGUUGAGUUUGUGCAUGAUAGGGGAAUAAUGUAUGGAAUGGGUGUAUGAAUGUUUAUUACAUUGUAUGGAAAAUAUUAGGUAAGUAUAAUUCUUGUUACAUGAGCUUACUAAGCACAAAGUGCUUAUCCUAUUUCUUUUUCCCCUAUUUUGUAGUGUUAAGUGCUCUGGUCGGAGACGCAUCACACUAUCAACCUCAAAUUCUCGGUAUAUAAAGAAACUUUAUUUUGGAAAUCAAUGGCAUGUAUAAGCUAGUAAAGUAGAUGUUAAUGUGAAAUGAAUGUAUGGUUAGCCAUUGGUAUGGCUAACAAAUUUUGGUUUUGGCAUGUGAUGAGAUUAUCUUAUGAAUACAAUAAAUCUAUCUUGAAAAUAUGUUGAAAUGGAUUGGUUGUGUUGGCUUGGUCUCGGUUUAAAAUUUGCAGGGAGGAUUAGAUAUUUAUAAAGGGGUUAUAUUGAGUUUUAAAAAAAAUCAGUAAAAUCUGGUAAUACCUCGUAUCCUAUUCCGGCGACGGAUACGGGUAAGGGGUGUUACAGGCAAUCCCAAAUGCAUGCUGACAUCUUCUAGAGUGAUAGUGCACUCUCCACAUGGAAGAUGAAAUGUGUGCGUCUCGGGUCUCCACCUCUCGAUCAACGCACUAAUCAGUUUCGGGUCCAACUUGAAUCCCCGGCCUACCGUCGCCAUGUGCCAAAAACCCGCUUCCCCCAGGUAGUUCUCUACUAAUGGUGAUGGAGAAGCAUGCAUAUUCUGGAUAUGGCAUUCCAAUACCCGAUCUUCAGACUUUUAUAACAAACAAUAAAUUAAUAAUUAUCUAAAUAUACAUAAAUAAAAAAUCUUAAAUAAUAAUUACAAAUUAAAUUUAAUACUUACCAUUUUCAUUUGCUCCACUGAUAUGUGAUUGCUAUCAAGACGAGUCAUGAUCCGGCCAUUGAUGAAAAUAUAAAAAAAUUUAAAAUUAUUUUAAAAAAAUAUAAAAAAAUUAUAAUUAUUUUAAAAAUGGAUUUGAGAGAAUUUUGGAAGGAAAUUAAAAUUAAAUAUGGGUUUGAGAGAAUUUUGGAAGGAAAUUGAAAGAAUUUUGGAAGGAAAUUGAGAGAGAGGAUUAGAGAGGAAAAAUUAGAUAGGAUUUGUUUGUGAAAAAAAAUAAAGGGGUGGGGGGUAUUUAUAUUUUUUUUUACCGUUGGGGGGGGCAACGGUCAAAUUUUUGACCAUUGGGGUACUGUUCACGCGCGGAGAAGGUUGCGCUGACGUGGACGCAAUCUUCUGCCAUGUACCCUGACAUCGCGCUGACGUGGGCGCGAUUUCCCGGAAAAUGGCCAUUUCGGUAAAUUUUGAAAAAAAAGGGCUUUUUCUGGUAAAUUUACCAUAUAUAAAUGGUUUUGAAUUUUUAUUUAUCAUUUUUAUAUAAUUUUUAAAAAUUAUAUACCAUAUGUUGGCAUAAUUUGGCUAAAACAUGGCACUUUCGAUAGCAAUAAUGUAAGCUCAAAUAUUCAUACACAACUAAGCAUCAAAACAAACACAACACAUAUCAACUUAUACCACAUCCAUUGAGCUUGGAUUUGAGUACACGGGUAAACUAUACCACACUAGUUACUCGUCUAAGCUAAAUAUAUACAUAUUAAGUUACUCAUUCGGGCUAAACCUUUAUAACAACACAUCAGAUUAAUCUCCCGAGCUAAACCUGUGUCACAUAAUACAUGAGAAUCUGCAAUAAAUGCUGGACCUCGAUAACAUCUAUCAUAAAUCUUGUAGAAGCGCGCACUAAACCCUAUUGGCAUGUCAAUCGAAUCCUAACUUUUACUAAGUUCACACGGACAUCGAUUUCGCUUAUUUCAAUAUCAAUUCUGUAAAAUGGGGUCACAUAUGACAUUUUUAUAUCAUGUAAUCAUUCAUAUUUAUGCAUUUGUACCCUGUAUUAAUACGUAAUAACCAACUUUACACAAUAUUCCAAUUUAGUCCAAUACUGGCCAGUUAUACCAAAUUCCAAGAUAUUUCAAUUAUAUACAAAUAUUCAUACACUAAUUAAAUACAAUAUGCACAAAUAUUAAUGAAAUAGUAAGCUCCAUUUGAACUUACAUAAUCAAAAAACAAACAAGUUGAUUUUUCAGAGACUAAUCAACAGUUUUAGUUUUUCUUCGAUUAACUUCGCUUUGAUCCAAUUCUUAAUCUAUAAAAUUAUUUCAUAAAAUCAAUAAAUAUUAAACCUUCUCAUUUUAUACCAUGAAAUGAAUGAAUCUAUACAAACUCAUUUUUGAUACCCUAAAAUUUUACAUUUUAUUCAAUUUAGUCUUUGAAUUCGAAAUAGUCAUAACUUCAAAUUUUGAGCCUCAAUUUAAAAUUUUGAUUUCACAUAUAUUCAUUAGGGACCCUCCACUUCCUAUUCAUAUCGAAAUUUCAUAACAAUUUUUCAUUUUAUUCAAUUUGGUCCUUAUGUUCGAAACUAAUAAUUAAGUUAAAUUAAUUUUACAAUCUAGUCCCUUUUCAUAAUCUAAGCUUAAAAUCUAUUAAAUUCAAACCUAAUUCUUCAAGAAAUCAACAAAUGCAACUUUUUGAAACUUUAACAAAUUUACAAAUUGGUACAGAGUUAGCUAAAUUAAACUCCCACGACCUCAAAUACAUAAAAAUUUCAAGAAAAAGUCUUAAAUCCUUGGCCGAAAGCUUGGAUGCUUGGAAGGGUUUUUCUCUUUUGUGGAUCUAUGGUGGACGGUCAUUUGAAAAAAGAAGAUAGUGGAAUUUUCCAUUAUCUCAACCUUAUAUACUUUAAUUAACUAAAGAUAGUCUAACUAAUUACUUUAACUUAGUUUUAUUAACUUAAAAAUUACUUAUUAUUAAUUCUUAAUGGGAUAUGGCAUCAACAUCCACUAACUCAUGUUUAUUCAUGGGCUAAUUGCUAUUUUAGGCCUUUGGUUAAUUGCUAUUUAGGUCCUCAAACUUUUGUCAAUUAAAAUUUCUUAGCGAUUGAACUUUUAUAAUUUAGUUCUUGUGUUUUAAUUAACUAUUAAUUCGGAAAAAUUACUGGACCAAACUUUAAUAUAUUCUUGUAUCAUCUCCGUAAAUAUUUAUAUUUAAUAUUUAUGGACUUGAUUUACGAAAAUAAGGUUUCAGAAUCACCUUUUCUAAAAUCACUGAAAAUCGGGUUGUUACAUAACUUAUUUGUAAAAAAAAUAACUUUCUAAAGUUAUGUCAAAAAAUUAUAUUAUUUAUAAGAAAUGUUAUAAAAGUUUUGGACAAUUUAUAAAACUUUUUUAUAAAGAUUAUAUAUUAUUUUUUACUUAAUUUACGUAUUAUAAAAAGAUAUAUAACUUAGCAUAAGUCUUUCUCCAAAUUAAGUUUAUAUAUGUUCUUAUAAUUAAAGCUAUAGACUAUUUGGACCGUGAUCUCAAAUAUUAUAAGAUCGAUGCUAAUUAUGCAAAUAGAAAAUAUUUUCUUGCACCAUAUCGUGAGGUAUGAUACUAUUUGAGAUAAUGGUGCUAAACACAAGUACCUUAGACAACUCUCAAACUCUUUAAUUUGAGACAUUCAAAGCUUCGAAAUAUUGUUGAGAAGACAUUUAUUGUUCUCAAAAAUAAUUUUCUCAUAUUAACAACAUCACAUUAGUAUAGCAUAAAAAAAACAAUAUCGGAUCAUACUAACAGGUUGCAUAUUUCAUAACUUUAAUCAUAAGUGGAAUUGAGAUGAUCCAUAAUUCGAUGAGUACAUGGAGAAAAGAGAUCUUGAUAAUCUUAAUUAUGCAAAUUUAGAUUCCGAUUCAAAUAAUGAUGAACUUAGUCAAGGACCAACAAAAUAAAAAACAUAUGUUAAAUAUUAAAUAGGGAAUAGCCCAACAAAUACGCACUAGAACAAUUAGACAGAAUUGCAUAUGAUGUUUAUUUUUCUUGCUAUUUUUGUUAGUAAUCGUAUUAUUAACUAUUUUUUUAGACUAACAUAAUUCAUAUGGUGGUUUGAUUUUAAUUUUUGUUAUUUGAUUAGAAAUUAUUUUUAUGAUACUAAUAAAUUUUUUAAAAAUAUAAAUUAUGUAACUGUGUAAUUACAAUUUGUACUACCAAAUAUGACAUAAGGAAUUAUAAUAUAAUUACACUUUGUCAAUUAAACACGUCUAAAGUACAAAAAAAUCUAAUUACUAUCCUAAUAAUUACAGUUUCAUUCCCUUAAAAUUAUGGAAACAAGGUUAAUUCAUGGACUAUAUUGAUAUAUGUGUGUGAAGACAAAAAAGGAGCACCUUGAUGUUGGAACAAGUGGAAAAUGAAAGGAAAAAGCAAUAGAGUAAAAGAAAGCGUGAUAUUCAAGUGCUGGAGUUGUAAGUACUCUUUGAAUUUUAUUUACCUAGAGUAUGUGUGCUUUGUUAAAUUGAGGAACUAAAUUUUAAUUAAUGGAAUUGGCUAAUUAUAGUUAUGGAAAAUUUUGACAUUAAAAAUUAAUGGUUAAUGUAACAUUUUAAAACUCCCUUAAUCGUAAAUAAUAUGAAUUUUCGAAAGAAAUAGAAAUUAUCAGUUGAAAAAGCAGAUGGAUCCCAAAGUCACUUCAAUCAAAGAAUUAUAUUAUGAUGUAUUAGUUUAAAGUAGGGACUACAUCACAAAAAUGUGAAAAGUAUUGUGGAUAUAAUAUGGAUAUUCACAAUUUAUGGGGUCAAACAUAAAUAUAGAAAAGUUGAGAGACCAAAAGUGCAAAUCCUUAGAGGUGGAAAGUCCAAAAUGUGAAAUAAAUUGGUAUAUGAGGACUAAAUGGAAUAAGUGGAGAAAUGAAAGAGACUAAGUUAUAGUUUUGCCAAAAGUGAAAAUUGGUCAACAGUGGAAUUGUAAAGAAUUAGAGAGUCAAAAUGGUUAUUUCUCAAUUAAAAUGACUAUCAUGUAUUAUCAUGAUAUUAUUGGUUGAAAUAUUAUUUUAUUAUAAGAUGUUUUGUUAUUAAUUAAUGGUUAAAUAAAAAGGAAAAGAUGAAAAUACAUUAUCAUCAUCUUCUCCAUCAUUCACACCACCACCAUGAAAGAGAGAAGAAGUUUUGAAAGUUAUCCAAUUUAGUUCUUUCCAUCAAAAUUCACCAUUUCCACCAAAAAAAUCAAAUAAAUUUCCAUAGCCAAGAAAACAGAAGUUUGAGGAUAGAGAAAAUUAAGUUAUGAUCUAAAAUCAAGAAAACAAGAUAAGAGCCUUAAGAUUUUAUCAAUUUUUUUUAGCUUAAUCUUGUUGGAAAAGCAUGAAAGUGGUGUUGAAGUAGAGUUUUCUUAUAUAAAGUAUUAUGUUUUUAACAUGUUCAUGAAGGGAAAAGAGAGAGAAAGUGAUAAAGAUGAGAAAGAAAGUGAAAGGAAACAAAAGAAGUGAGAUUUAGUAAGAAAAAGCUAAAUACCCUUGAAUUCUAUUUGUUACCUAAGGAUUAGAUUGUAAAGAAUGCUAAGUUUAUUCAUGAUAAUUACAUGAAAUUGUUAAGUACAUGUAAAUGUAUGUUUCGACAUCUUUCUUACGAAAAGAGGUAUGUAAUGGAAGUCAUAAAAGAGAGUAAAUGUUAAAGGUUUUACUAAACGGUUUUCUGGAUAACAACCUGUUCGAACUUUGAAAAUUCACCAAAAAUUAUAAAAAUUUAACUAGAGGUUAAACCAAACAUAAAACUUAAGACUAUUGAGUUUAUUUUUGUAUAGAAGAAAUGGUGUAAGUAAUAGAAUUGUAGAGUAUGAGAUAAGUAAAUUUAAGUGAGACAAGAUCAAAUUGAGUUCAGGUUCUCCUAUUCUGAAUUUGAAAAAUUAUUAAAAAUUGUACAAAAAUAAUUAGAAGAUGAAGUUUGUAUGUAUAAAAAUCUUAAUGAGUCUAAUUUCAAUAGGAACAAACCAAAACAUUAUACAAAUUUUGUACUGAAAAUAAAUAAUUUUUAGUAGAAAAUGGUCAGAGUUGCCUAGUAGCAGAAAAGUUGAAGAUUUGAAAAAUAAAAUUGUAUUAAUUGGUUUGAUUUAAAAUUUUUGUCAUAAUUUUUAUAUUAAGGACGAGAUGUCUAGUUUCAAAAAUUUUCAAUGGAACUUGAUUAUCAAUUCCAAUGAAUGAGAUAUAAAUAAAAAUGUGACUGUUGCGCAGCAGAUUGCACUGUUUUAAGUCGUUAAAUUUUAAAACUUAUAGACUAAAUUUAUAAAUGAAGUAAAAGUAGGUUAAAAUAUGAAAAUCAUAAAAUAAAUACUAGUGUGAAUAGUUUGACUUGGAGAAAAGAAUUUAAAAAGAAAAGUAAAAGUCUUAGAAAUAUUCUUACACUAAUGUUGAGUAGGGGUGUGCAAAUUUCGAGUAAAAUUGAUUUAACCGACCAAACUGAAUUAAUUCAGUUAAUCGGUCUGUUAACUGAAUUAAUUUAGUCGGGAGUCAGUUAAUAAUUUUUUAGAAGUUCGGUUAACGGUUAAUUCGGUUCGAAAUUGGUUAAUUAACCGAAUUAACCGAAAAUUUAUAUUUUAUAUACAUUUUACAUAUAUUAAAUUCAGUUAAUUCGGUUAAUUUUUUAUAUGUUUUAUACUUGUUUUAACCCCAAAAGCAAAAAAACAUAUAAAUUUCGGUUAAUCGAUCGAAUUAACCGAAAAAGUUCGGUUCGGUUAAUUUCUUUUUAAAAAAUUUCAGUUUGGUUAACAAUUAAGGAUUUAAAAAGUUCGGUUAAUUCGGUUAAUGCUAGUUCGAGUCGGUUAACCGAUUGAACACGUAUUUAUUCGUGAAGGAAAAUAUAAUAUUUGAUUUUAAUCUAUUAUUAAAUAAAUUUUGUAUAUAUAUAUCUGUGCGCGCGCCCAAAUUUUAAGUUAAAAGUUUAGAUGAAGAAGAUAGAACGUAAUAUAAAAAAGAAAAAAAGAAAAACGGAAUUUUUUCUAGAAAAUGUUUGGACUCAAACGUUCAGGAUUUUGGGGGUCUUUUUAAUGAUUUAAUUAUUAUUUUUAUUUUGGUUAAUAAAAAGUAUUCAGCAAAUUAAUUUUUAGUCCUUUAGAAUUGGUAGACUAUACAAAUGUGAUGGCAAAUUGUGCCACGUGAAACAAAGGCGAAAAGAAUUAGAUUAUUAUUUAAGAAGAUCAAAAUUGAAUAAUUUAUUUGGAGAAGAUAAAAGUAUAAUUUUGUUAUCAUAUUUAUUUUUAAUUUGAUAAAUUUUAAAGAGGUUAAAAAAAGAAUUAUUAUGUUGGUGGCCAAAAUCACUACUUAUAAUGGACUCACAUGUCUACAAGUCAAAUCUUAACACCAUUAGCUAGAGUUGUCACAGGAUAAAUAAUGUUAAAUUCAAAUACUAAAUUUGAUUAUUUAAAAAUUUAAGUAACAUACUAAAAGACCAAAUGUCUCAUUAUUCCAAAGUAAAACAUAUAAUCAAGCAAGACAUGAUGUAAAAUUCAAUGGAAAAGAAGAGAAAAUGAUCAUAUAAUUACUCUAGCCAUCCCCGUCUUCAAGCUCGACUUGAACUAUCAUGGUGGAAACAAAAUAAAGAACUCCAAGUUUGUUUUUACGGAGUAAAUUUUCUCCUUUUUUUCCUUUUUCUUUUAACCACGUGGUCAGCAUGCAGCGCAGUUCACCAUCAUGUAAAAGCCAUUGGAUUGUUUUCUGUGUCUUGCCACGUUGGAAGCAUGCACUAAUCCACAUUCCAUAUGUAGUCUAAGAAUCCCUGUAAUCUUUCAUCUCUCGGAUCACAUUGUGCAAGCAAAAGAAAAAAAGAUGGGAAAAUCAGGCUACUCAAAGCUUCACAUCGCCAUGUUUCCCUGGGUUGCAUAUGGUCAUUUCAUCCCCUUCCUUCAUCUCUCAAAUAAGUUGGCUCAUAAAGGCCAUAAAAUUUCCUUCAUUUUGCCUAAAGGAGUGCAACCAAAGCUGGAAAACAUGAACCAAUACCCCAACUUGAUUCAAUUCGUCCCUCUAGUUAUACCCCAUGUCGAUGGCCUCCCUCCAGGUGCUGAAACUACAUCCGUUGUUCCUCUGAACCAACAAAAAUACCUUGCUUUUGCUGUAGAUCAAACCAGGGACCAAGUUGAAGGCAUCCUAGGGGCUUUAAAACCUGAUAUGGUUUUUUAUGAUUUCUGGUUUUGGAUCCCAGACUUGGCUCGCCAACUUGGGAUCCACCCCAUAUUCUAUGUAGUGGUUUCCUCGAUGAUCAUGUCGUUAGGAUCAAACAUCAGGACGCUAACCAAAGAAAUGACUGUAGAAGAGGUGACGAAAUUGCC
rnacentral:lncRNA from 1 species